GCUGACACAUCCCUGCCAAUCUCCGGCAGACCCUCCCUCCCAGACCCUCCCACCUCCUGGACAGCAUCCAUGUUGAAGCUGCCUUCAACAUGGAUGCUGUCCAGGAAGUAGGAGGGUCUGGGAGGGAGGGUCUGCUGGAGAUUGGCUGGGAUGUGUCAG
rnacentral:miRNA from 1 species